rnacentral:rRNA from 1 species
AUUGCCCUAGUAACGGCGAGUGAAGCGGCAACAGCUCAAAUUUGAAAUCUGGCGUCUUUGGCGUCCGAGUUGUAAUUUGCAGAGGGCGCUUUGGCAUUGGCAGCGGUCCAAGUUCCUUGGAACAGGACGUCACAGAGGGUGAGAAUCCCGUACGUGGUCGCUAGCCUUUACCGUGUAAAGCCCCUUCGACGAGUCGAGUUGUUUGGGAAUGCAGCUCUAAAUGGGAGGUAAAUUUCUUCUAAAGCUAAAUACUGGCCAGAGACCGAUAGCGCACAAGUAGAGUGAUCGAAAGAUGAAAAGCACUUUGGAAAGAGAGUUAAAAAGCACGUGAAAUUGUUGAAAGGGAAGCGCUUGCAGCCAGACUUGCCUGUAGUUGCUCAUCCGGGUUUUUACCCGGUGCACUCUUCUAUAGGCAGGCCAGCAUCAGUUUGGGCGGUUGGAUAAAGGUCUCUGUCAUGUACCUCUCUUCGGGGAGAACUUAUAGGGGAGACGACAUGCAACCAGCCCGGACUGAGGUCCGCGCAUCUGCUAGGAUGCUGGCGUAAUGGCUGUAAGCGGCCCGUCUUGAAACACGGACCAAGGAGUCUAACAUCUAUGCGAGUGUUUGGGUGUCAAGCCCGAGCGCGUAAUGAAAGUGAACGGAGGUGGGAACCUUUCGGGGUGCACCAUCGACCGAUCCUGAUGUCUUCGGAUGGAUUUGAGUAAGAGCAUAGCUGUUGGGACCCGAAAGAUGGUGAACUAUGCUUGAAUAGGGUGAAGCCAGAGGAAACUCUGGUGGAGGCUCGCAGCGGUUCUGACGUGCAAAUCGAUCGUCAAAUUUGGGCAUAGGGGCGAAAGACUAAUCGAACUAUCUAGUAGCUGG